UACAGAGACUGCAAGCGUUAUUCGGAUUCACUGGGCGUAAAGGGGGCGCAGGCGGUCGGGUGUGUCAGAUGUGAAAUCCCGAGGCUCAACCUCGGAACUGCGUCUGAAACUACUCGACUAGAGUACUGGAGAGGGUAACGGAAUUCACGGUGUAGCAGUGAAAUGCGUAGAUAUCGUGAGGAACACCAGAGGCGAAGGCGGUUACCUGGACAGUUACUGACGCUCAGGCACGAAAGCAUGGGGAGCAAAAGGG
rnacentral:rRNA from 1 species